UAUUCUGCCCUACGGGGAAGGAUGAGAAGCUUCGACUAAGGUUCGACUCGAGCGUAGCGAGAGAACGUUGUCGCAGGC
rnacentral:sRNA from 1 species